AUUUCAUUUUAAACAUUAACUUUAAUAAAAAAAAUUAAAUCUGUUCUUAUCAGUUUAAUAUCUGAUAUGUCCUCUAUCUGAGGACUAUAUAUUAAAUGGAUUUUUGGAACAGGGGGAUGGAAUAGGAGCUUGCUCCAUCCACUCCAUGCAUCAACCUGGUAUUGCAGUACCUCCGGGAAUGGUGCACCUCCG